GUAUUGGAUGAUGCUUUGAUCGAUCAGUGAUGGCUUUGAUGGACACCUUCUUCUGUGUGCUCUACGUCUUAAUGGAUCUCGAGGAGGCUCCUGGAUUACUGACUGUGUGGGAGGUUCAAAUAGAAAACAUUGUGGGAGUUUUAACUUUCAGAUGUUCUUGCCGUGUACACACACAUUCAGAUGAGAGAUGCUCCACAAAUUCUUUCCUAGACGAUUUUGUUUUUAAGCUUUGUCCUUUGAUGCAGAUCCUCGAGGCAAUGGUAUUACUGUACAGGAGGUGGUGUGUUGGAAGUGAAUCAUGGAGGCUCCACCCGCUUCUGAAUUGUCGCACCUCCUCGGCUCUUCCUACGAACGUCGUCACAGUCCAGGCACUAGGAUUGCUAUGUUGAAUUGAACUUUUAUCUUCUCGUCUAGAAUCAGGUAAGGUGCGGUGGUGUGUGACAUUCUUCUACGGGUCUCUGCUACGAAGUAUGGGCUCCUAUGUUGCAAAUCUAUUACCUCCAGAUGUAUGUUUCACUUUUAAUCAUUCAGGUUCUGACGCUAGAGAGGCUAUUUGUAGUCAUUGACAGCUGCAGAGGAGAACAAAGCAUCCGAACAACACCAAGAAUAAAUAUCAAAAAUUCUCAUAUUUAAGUGAAACAAGUUAAAUUUACCUGUGACAACAACCAAAAUAAUCACUGCUAAUGCAAUGCUUCCUCCAUCA